GUAUUUAUUAAAUCCCUUGAUAAAGCAUUGUAUGAGAAGUUAUUUAAGGAAUUAGGUUAUUUAUUCAUUUAUCUAUGUUGAUAGUUUGUGGUUUGAGAUAGGUUAUGAAUCGGUUAUAAUGUGUUGUAGUUAGGUUAUAAAUAGGUUAGGAUUCUGUUUAAAUUUUAGUCAUUUAAGUUAUUUAUUUAUUUGUUUUAUUUUUGUUUAUUUACUUAUUCAUUUAUCCUUUCUAUUUAUGGUGCAGAAUAGGUUAUGAUUAGGUUAUAAUUAGGUUCGACUACGAUUAUGGCAGUGUUUGAUUAUGAUACGGUUAGGGUUAAUUUAUGUAUUUAUGUAGGAUUAAGCUAUAACACCUGGUUCAGGCUUUGGUGGGGGGAAUUGGGCAAGUGUAGCCCAGGCUUAAUAAUGAGAAACACUAUUAGCUGUCUAACCAAGUCACAAAAGGGUUAACUGUGACUUUCUUGUUAUCUUUGAUGGAUUUGUAAGUGAGCAAAUGGGUGAACUCUAUGAGGCAUUGAACUGACCAAUCAGCUGCCAGCUAGGCUCUGUUACAGUUACACCUCUAGGUUAAUGUCUCUGCACGUUCUUUUGGCGCUUGCACCUGAGCAUAGGAGGCUGCGUUAUCCACUUGAUAAGACGAAAAACGACAUGGAGUGAAUUAAACAAGUUCUGUAUUCAUUAUUGCUUAUACUGACUAUAUCCUGUUGUAAUAUAGAGAGUAAAAGAGAGCUGUGCCUGAAUCCACUGUUGUCACGGAGCUAAAGGCAGUGAAUUCUGCUAAAAUGGUUUUGGUAAAGAGUUGGAAACAUUGUGCGGAGAUCCUUUCCAUGGAAUGCUACAGAUCCCCACGUUCCAGGCGCUCUUCCAGAGAUCCAUAGAUUCCCAGUCCGGGUGGCUGGGUGGCGAGCCAACCGUGUUUGUGACUCUGACUUUAGACGGAUUGCCAGGAUCAUCUUCUUCAUCUUCAUGGUGGUAGGACAAACACUAACACGAACUAAAAAGGGCCCAACGUUGGUGACUGACCUCUUGUCAACAAAGGCAAGUGAAACUGAGGACGAACUAAGCUCAAGGGAAUUUAAAAGGGGAUUUAUUUAGGUGCGCAGUUUAUUAUUCUAGUUUGUUAUUUUUCAUAACUGUUUUUUGUAUAUGUAUGUACCAGCCCAUGUGUGUGUUAUACAUUUUAUGCAAAUUGUCAUUCUGGUGUGGUAUUCUUUUUAUUGACCUUCAAUUCUCAGGUUCUUAACAAUUUAGCAUCUUCUGAUUCUGGUCCAAAUUCAUAUUACUGAUAACCUCUAAGACUACUUUAGACUACUACACCUAUGGGUUACACAAGACCUUGUCGGCCGUUGGUUGUGCAUUUGAAUGUAGAGUUGUUUUUAGGUCUAGGCUGCUACCCCUGAGUGAGGCUUUGCUAACAAUAUUUGGCUAUAAUUUUAUCUGAUCUUGGGCUUUCUUCUUUUAUCUGCCGUGAAUGUGGGAGUUGUUUUUAGGUCUCGGUUGUUACCCCUGAGUGAGGCUUUGCUGAAGAUAUUCGGCUAUAAUUUUACCCGAAAAUGGGCGUUCUUUUUUCCUGUUGAUUGUUUCUUCCAUAACGCUGGGUUCUCAUGUGACGGUUCCGUGUUGAGAUUGGUUCCCGGCAGGUUUUAUCCUGCACGUCAGAAUGAUAGGUAAGCAGAAUAAAAUAGCAGACUACCUGUGUGGGCAGUACAUUCACCAUGCCUGUCUGGGCUUGUUUCCGCUCACCUAUCCAACAGUCUCUUUAUCCCUUAGUCAAAAGGGCAGGAGACUAGACACUUGUGAUUGAUGGACAUGAUCGUCGACGAAACUCGUGGUCCACCAACGACUAAGGCUACUUUUACUCAGAUAGCGUGCUCGGUCCGAAGGCUCUGGCUGGGUUAGGUUUUGGUAAGAAUACAAUGAUCCCCCCCAUCACAAUAAUCCAUUGGGUAGUUAAGCAGGGGACCAAGGAAGGUGCACGGGCCAG
ensembl:lncRNA